AGGACGAACGCUGGCGGCGUGCUUAACACAUGCAAGUCGAGCGGAAAGGCCCUUCGGGGUACUCGAGCGGCGAACGGGUGAGUAACACGUGAGUAACCUGCCCCUAGCUCUGGGAUAGCUCCGGGAAACCGGGAUUAACUACCAGAUACGACCACUUUAGACAUCUGUCGUGGUGGAAAGGAUUCCGGCUAGGGAUGGGCUCGCGGCCUAUCAGCUUGUUGGUGGGGUAACGCCUACCAAGGCGACGACGGGUA
rnacentral:rRNA from 1 species